AUUGAACGCUGGCGGCAGGCUUAACACAUGCAAGUCGAGCGGUAACAGAGAGAAGCUUGCUUCUCCGCUGACGAGCGGCGGACGGGUGAGUAAUGCCUAGGAAUCUGCCUAGUAGUGGGGGAUAACUUGCCGAAAGGUAAGCUAAUACCGCAUACGUCCUACGGGAGAAAGGAGGGGACCUUCGGGCCUUUCGCUAUUAGAUGAGCCUAGGUCGGAUUAGUUAGUUGGUGAGGUAAUGGCUCACCAAGACCGCGAACCGUAACUGGUCUGAGAGGAUGAUCAGUCACACUGGAACUGAGACACGGUCCAGACUCCUACGGGAGGCAGCAGUGGGGAAUAUUGGACAAUUGGGGGAACCCUGAUCCAGCCAUGCCGCGUGUGUGAAGAAGGUCUUAGGAUUGUAAAGCACUUUAAGUUGGGAGGAAGAGCAGUUAACUAAUAUUUGACUGUUUUGACGUUACCGACAGAAUAAGCACCGGCUAACUUCGUGCCAGCCGCCGCCGUAA
rnacentral:rRNA from 1 species